rnacentral:rRNA from 1 species
UACGUAGGGGGCAAGCGUUGUCCGGAAUCAUUGGGCGUAAAGAGCGUGUAGGCGGCUCGGUAAGUCCGCUCUGAAAGCCCGGGGCUCAACCCCGGGAGGCGGGCGGAUACUGUCGAGCUAGAGUCCGGAAGAGGCGAGUGGAAUUCCUGGUGUAGCGGUGAAAUGCGCAGAUAUCAGGAGGAACACCAAUGGCGAAGGCAGCUCGCUGGGACGGUACUGACGCUGAGACGCGAAAGCCAGGGGAGCGAACGGG